rnacentral:rRNA from 1 species
AUCAACUUUCGAUGGUAGGAUAGAGGCCUACCAUGGUGGUAACGGGUAACGGGGUGUUAGGGCACGACACCGGAGAGGGAGCCUGAGAAACGGCUACCACAUCCAAGGAUGGCAGCAGGCGCGCAAAUUACCCAAUCCCGACACGGGGAGGUAGUGACAAUAAAUAACAAUACGGGGUUCUUUCGGAUCUCGUAAUUGGAAUGAGUACAAUUUAAAUCUCUUAACGAGGAACAAUUGGAGGGCAAGUCUGGUGCCAGCAGCCGCGGUAAUUCCAGCUCCAAUAGCGUAUAUUAAAGUUGUUGCAGUUAAAAAGCUCGUAGUUGAAUUUCGGGGUUAGUAGGUUGGUCAUGCCUCUGGUAUGUACUGGUCUCACUGAUUCCUCCUUCCUGAUGAACCGUAAUGCCAUUAAUUUGGUGUUGCGGGGAAUUUGGACUGUUACUUUGAAAAAAUUAGAGUGUUUAAAGCAAGCUAACGCUUGAAUACAUUAGCAUGGAAUAAUGAAAUAGGACGUUCGAUCCUAUUUUGUUGGUUUCUAGGAUUGACGUAAUGAUUAAUAGGGAUAGUUGGGGGCAUUAGUAUUCAAUUGUCAGAGGUGAGAUUCUUGGAUUUAUUGAAGACUAACUACUGCGAAAGCAUUUGCCAAGGAUGUUUUCAUUAAUCAAGAACGAAAGUUAGGGGAUCGAAGACGAUCAGAUACCGUCGUAGUCUUAACCAUAAACUAUGCCGACUAGGGAUCGGAUGAUGUUAAUUUUUUAAUGACUCAUUCGGCGCCUUACGGGAAACCAAAGUGUUUGGGUUC